rnacentral:rRNA from 1 species
AUUGAACGCUGGCGGCAGGCCUAACACAUGCAAGUCGAACGAGUGGCGGACGGGUGAGUAAUGUAUGGGAAACUGCCUGAUGGAGGGGGAUAACUACUGGAAACGGUAGCUAAUACCGCAUACCAUCGGAUGUGCCCAGAUGGGAUUAGCUUGUUGGUGGGGUAACGGCUCACCAGGGCGACGAUCCCUAGCUGGUCUGAGAGGAUGAACAGCCACCGUGCAACUGAGACACUGUCCAGACUCCUACGGGAGGCAGCAGGUGGGAAGAUUGCACAAUGGGCGCAAGCCUGAUGCAGCCAGGCCGCGUGUAUGAAGAAGGCCUUCGGGUUGUAAAGUACUUUCAGCGGGGAGGCGUUACCCGAAGUAGAAGCACCGGCUAACUCCGUGCCAGCAGCCGCUGUAAUUC